rnacentral:rRNA from 1 species
GAUGAACGCUAGCUACAGGCUUAACACAUGCAAGUCGAGGGGAAACGAUAGAGAAAGCUUGCUUUUCUAGGCGUCGACCGGCGCACGGGUGAGUAACGCGUAUCCAACCUGCCCAUCACUUGGGGAUAACCUUGCGAAAGUAAGACUAAUACCCAAUGACGUCUCUAGAAGACAUCUGAAAGAGAUUAAAGAUUUAUCGGUGAUGGAUGGGGAUGCGUCUGAUUAGCUUGUUGGCGGGUAACGGCCCACCAAGGCGACGAUCAGGUAGGGGUUCUGAGAGGAAGGUCCCCCACAUUGGAACUGAGACACGGUCCAAAACUUCCUAACGGGGAGGCAGCAGUGAGGAAUAUUGGUCAAUGGACGAGAGUCUGAACCAGCCAAGUAGCGUGCAGGAUGACGGCCCUAUGGGUUGUAAACUGCUUUUAUAAGGGAUAAAGUGAGUCUCGUGAGACUUUUUGCAUGUACCUUAUGAAUAAGGACCGGCUAAAUUCCGUGCCAGCAGCCGAGG